rnacentral:rRNA from 1 species
CCAAUCGAACCCGGAGAUAGCUGGUUCUCCUCGAAAUAGCUUUAGGGCUAGCCUCGUAUUAAUGCCAUGGAGGUAGAGCACUGAAUUUCCUAGGGGGCGUCAAAGUCUACCGAAGAAUAUCAAACUCCGAAUGCCAUAGGUAUGAUGUACGGGAGUCAGACUGCACGAGAUAAGUUGGGCAGUCAAAAGGGAAAGAGCCCAGACCUACAGCUAAGGUCCCAAAGUACGUGUUAAGUGGAAAAGGAUGUGGGAUUUCAAAGACAACUAGGAUGUUGGCUUAGAAGCAGCCAUACAUUCAAAGAGUGCGUAAUAGCUCACUAGUCGAGAGAUCUUGCGCCGAAAAUGUCCGGGGCUAAAACAUACCACCGAAGCUAUGGAAUCAUCUAGUAUGAUUGGUAGAGGAGCGUUGCAUCGGCGCUGAAGCAGUACCGGAAGGAGCUGUGGACUGGUAAGAAGUGAGAAUGCCGGUAUGAGUAGCGAAAAGAAAGGUGAGAAUCCUUUCCACCGAAAGCCUAAGGGUUCCUGAGCAACGAUCGUCGACUCAGGGUAAGUCGGGACCUAAGCCGAGGCGGAAAAGCGUAGGCGAUGGACAACAGGUUGAAAUUCCUGUACUAGUAUGAAUUGUUUGAUCGAUGGAGUGACGCAGUAAGAUAGGUCAGCACGAGGAUGGAAAUUCGUGUUUAAGCGUGUAGGUGAAGUGGCAGGCAAAUCCACCACUUCGAAAGCUGAGGCGUGAUGAGGAGUUACUAGCGAUAGUGACGAACUGAUUGAUUCUACACUGCCGAGAAAAGCUUCUAGGUAGAGACAUACUACCCGUACCGAAACCGACACAGGUGGGCGGGGAGAGAAUCCUAAGGUGCGCGGGAAAACCCUCGUUAAGGAACUCGGCAAAAUGCCUCCGUAACUUCGGGAAAAGGAGGACUCAUGUAGUGUGAAGAGCAGUAACGCUCGGAGCAUGAAUGAGUGGCACAAGAGAGGCGCAAGCGACUGUUUACCACAAACACAGGUGCCUGCUAAAGCGAAAGCUGAUGUAUAGGUGCUGACACCUGCCCGGUGCUGGAAGGUUAAGAGGAGGGGUUAGGAGUAAUCCGAAGCUCUGAAUUGAAGCCCCAGUAAACGGCGGCCGUAACUAUAACGGUCCUAAGGUAGCGAAAUUCCUUGUCGGGUAAGUUCCGACCCGCACGAAAGGUGUAACGAUUUGGGCACUGUCUCAACGAGGGACCCGGUGAAAUUGAAAUACCUGUGAAGAUGCAGGUUACCCGCGACUGGACAGAAAGACCCCAUGGAGCUUUACUGCAACCUAAGAUUGAAUUUAGUUAUUGAAUGUACAGGAUAGGUGGGAGACUUAGAAACUAGGGCGCCAGUCUUAGUGGAGUCAUUGUUGGGAUACCACCCUUUCCAUAAUUGAAUUCUAACGGGAAGACUAACACCCUUCCGGACAGUCUUAGGCGGGCAGUUUGACUGGGGCGGUCGCCUCCGAAAAUGUAACGGAGGCGCCCAAAGGUUCCCUCAGAGCGGACGGAAAUCGCUCGAAGAGUGUAAAGGCAGAAGGGAGCUUGACUGCGAGACGGACAGGUCGAGCAGGUACGAAAGUAGGGCUUAGUGAUCCGGUGGUACCGAGUGGAAGGGCCAUCGCUCAACGGAUAAAAGCUACCCUGGGGAUAACAGGCUAAUCUCUCCCAAGAGUCCAUAUCGACGGGGAGGUUUGGCACCUCGAUGUCGGCUCAUCACAUCCUGGGGCUGAAGUCGGUCCCAAGGGCUGGGCUGUUCGCCCAUUAAAGUGGUACGUGAGCUGGGUUCAGAACGUCGUGAGACAGUUCGGUCCCUAUCCAUCGCGGGCGUAAGAGAUUUGAAGGGGGCUGCUCCUAGUACGAGAGGACCGGAGUGGACGGACCGCUGGUGUACCAAUUAUCCUGCCAAGGGUAUAGUUGGGUAGCUACGUCCGGAACGGAUAAACGCUGAAAGCAUCUAAGCGUGAAACCAUCCUUAAGAUGAGAUCUCUCAUAGAGUAAUCUAGUAAGACACCUUGAAGAUUACAAGGUUGAUAGGCAGGAUGUGUAAGCACAGCAAUGUGUUAAGCUGACCUGUACUAAUAUGUCGAGGGCUUGACUUA